rnacentral:rRNA from 1 species
UACGUAGGGUGCAAGCGUUAAUCGGAAUACUGGGCGUAAAGCGUGCGCAGGCGGUUUUGUAAGUCUGAUGUGAAAUCCCCGGGCUCAACCUGGGAAUUGCAUUGGAGACUGCAAGGCUAGAAUCUGGCAGAGGGGGGUAGAAUUCCACGUGUAGCAGUGAAAUGCGUAGAGAUGUGGAGGAACACCGAUGGCGAAGGCAGCCCCCUGGGUCAAGAUUGACGCUCAUGCACGAAAGGCGUGGG